rnacentral:rRNA from 1 species
GACGAACGCUGGCGGCGUGCUUAACACAUGCAAGUCGAACGGAAAGGCCCUGCUUUUGUGGGGUGCUCGAGUGGCGAACGGGUGAGUAACACGUGAGUAACCUGCCCUUGACUUUGGGAUAACUUCAGGAAACUGGGGCUAAUACCGGAUAGGAGCUCCUGCUGCAUGGUGGGGGUGGGAAAGUUUCGGCGGUUGGGGAUGGACUCGCGGCUUAUCAGCUUGUUGGUGGGGUAGUGGCUUACCAAGGCUUUGACGGGUAGCCGGGCUGAGGGGGUGACCGGCCACAUUGGGACUGAGAUACGGCCCAGACUCCUACGGGAGGCAGCGGUGGGGAAUAGUGCACAAUGGGCGGAAGCCUGAUGCAGCAACGCCGCGUGCGGGAUGACGGCAUUCGGGUUGUAAACCGCUUUCGCCUGUGAGGAAGAGUGAGUGACGGUAAUGGGUAAAGAAGCACCGGCUAACUACGUG